AGCGAACGCUGGCGGCGUGCCUAACACAUGCAAGUCGAACGUGAAAGGGAGCAAUCCCAAGUAAAGUGGCGUACGGGUGAGUAACACGUAGGUAAUCUACCCCAGAAUCUGGAAUAACCGGCCGAAAGGCUGGCUAAUACUGGAUAGAGCGACGGAAUCCGUAAUUGGGUUUUUCGGGAAAGGGAGCCUGUAAAAAGGCCUUCGUUCUGGGAUGAGCCUGCGUCCCAUCAGCUAGUUGGUGAGGUAAAAGCUUACCAAGGCAAUGACGGGUAGCUGGUCUGAGAGGACGAUCAGCCACACUGGAACUGAAACACGGUCCAGACUCCUCCGGGAGGCAGCAGUGGGGAAUCUUGCGCAAUGGACGAAAGUCUGACGCAGCAACGCCGCGUGAGUGAAGAAGGCCUUCGAGUUGUAAAGCUCUGUCGAGUGGGACGAAAAUGCUUGGAGUUCACAGCUCCAGGAACUGACGGUACCACUAAAGGAAGCACCGGCUAACUCCGUG
rnacentral:rRNA from 1 species